AAUCAACGCUGGCGGCGUGCCUAACACAUGCAAGUCGCACGAGAAAGGGACUUCGGUCCUGAGUACAGUGGCGCACGGGUGAGUAACACGUGAAUCAUCUACCUUCGAGUGGGGAAUAACUGAGAGAAAUCUUAGCUAAUACCGCAUAAUACCUACGGGUCAAAGCAGCAAUGCGCUUGAAGAGGAGUUCGCGGCAGAUUAGUUAGUUGGCAGGGAAUGGCCUACCAAGACGAUGAUCUGUAUCCGGCCUGAGAGGGCGCACGGACACACUGGAACUGAACACGGUCCAGACUCCUACGGGAGGCAGCAGUGGGGAAUUUUGCGCAAGU
rnacentral:rRNA from 1 species